rnacentral:rRNA from 1 species
AGAGUUUGAUCCUGGCUCAGGACAAACGCUGGCGGCGUGCCUAACACAUGCAAGUCGUACGUCCUCUUGGAGUUCGCUUCAAGAGGGAGUGGCGGACGGGUGAGGAACACGUGGGAACCUGCCCACCGGUGAGGAAUACCGGCGAGAAAUCGCUGACAAGACCGCAUACGCUUCGCAAGAAGCAAAGCUCUCCGCACGGGGAGCGCCUGUGGAGGGGCCUGCGUCCGAUUAGCUAGCCGGUGGGGUAAUGGCUCACCAGGGCGACGAUCGGUAGCUGGUCUGAGAGGAUGAGCAGCCACACUGGGAUUGAGAACGGCCCAGACUCCUACGGGAGGCAGCAGUGAGGAAUUUUCCGCAAUGGGGGCAACCCUGACGGAGCAACGCCGCGUGCAGGAAGACGGCCUUCGGGUUGUAAACUGCUUUUCUCAGGGAAGAGGAUGGACGGUACCUGAGGAAGAAGCCCCGGCUUACUACGUGCCAGCAGCCGCGGUAAUACGUAGGGGGCGAGCGUUGUCCGGAUUUACUGGGCGUAAAGCGCGUGCAGGCGGUUCAACAAGUUCAGAGUGACAGUCACCAGCCUAACUGGUGAAGGGUUCUGAAAACGAUUGGACUGGAGAGCGAGAGAGGGACCUGGAACUCCGGGUGGAGCGGUGAAAUGCAUAGAGAUCCGGAAGAACACCACUGGCGAAGGCAGGGUCCUGGCUCGUAUCUGACGCUCAGACGCGAAAGCAAGGGGAGCGAACGGGAUUAGAUACCCCGGUAGUCCUUGCCGUAAACGAUGACCACCAGGCGUAGGAGGGAUCGACCCCUUCUGUGCCGCCUCUCACGAACUAAGUGGUCCGCCUGGGGAGUACGGUCGCAAGAUUAAAACUCAAAGGAAUUGGCGGGGG